AGUGUUAAAUGAAGUGUGGAUGCACAGACAGCCAGGAGGUUGGCUUAGAAGCAGCCAUUCCUUAAAAGAGUGCGUAACAGCUCCACUGGUGCGAGGCAGUUCAUCGCGCAGACAAUGUAACGGGGGCUAAGCAUAAUACCGAAGCCAUGGACUCAUAUCUUAGGGAUAUGAUUGGUAGGGGAGCAUUCCAUUAACUGAAGAAGGAAUACCCGCGAGGGGUUCUGGAGGAGGAUGGAAGAGAGAAUGCAGGUAUAAGUAUACAAAAAGACGGGUGGGAUUCCCGUCCGCCGAAAACAUAAGGGUUCCAGGGUAAAGGCAAUCUGCCCUGGGUAAGUCGGCCCCUAAGGCCAGGUCGAAAGACGUAGCCGAUGGGAAAUCGGUUUAUAAUCCGAUACCUUCCACAGUUUCGAGGACAGGACGCAUGAGGUGAAAUCCGGCCGGAGAACGGUUGUUCCGGUCAAAGCGCCGAGCCGAUGAGGGCCGCAGGCAAAUCCGCGGUCCGAGGUGAGGCGUUACAGCGAGCGGAGAGAAAGUCGAAGCGAAGCGGAUGUAGUCAGGGUGCCGGGAAAUACUGUCUAAGGCUAGGCUGUGGAAGACCGUACCGUAAACGGACACACGUCUGUGGGAUGAGAAAUCUAGGCGCACGAGCGACCUCGCGUUAAGGAACUCGGCAAAAUGCACACGUAACUUCGGAAGAAGUGUGGCUCUGAUUGUAUAAGAUUAAGAGCGGCAGAAAGCAGGCUCAGGCGACUGUUUAUCAA
rnacentral:rRNA from 1 species